rnacentral:rRNA from 1 species
GAUGAACGCUGGCGGCGUGCCUAAUACAUGCAAGUCGAGCGAACAGACGAGGAGCUUGCUCCUCUGACGUUAGCGGCGGACGGGUGAGUAACACGUGGAUAACCUACCUAUAAGACUGGGAUAACUUCGGGAAACCGGAGCUAAUACCGGAUAAUAUAUUGAACCGCAUGGUUCAAUAGUGAAAGACGGUUUUGCUGUCACUUAUAGAUGGAUCCGCGCCGCAUUAGCUAGUUGGUAAGGUAACGGCUUACCAAGGCAACGAUGCGUAGCCGACCUGAGAGGGUGAUCGGCCACACUGGAACUGAGACACGGUCCAGACUCCUACGGGAGGAAGCAGUAGGGAAUCUUCCGCAAAGGGCGAAAGCCUGACGGAGCAACGCCGCGUGAGUGAUGAAGGUCUUCGGAUCGUAAAACUCUGUUAUUAGGGAAGAACAAAUGUGUAAGUAACUAUGCACGUCUUGACGGUACCUAAUCAGAAAGCCACGGCUAACUACGUG